GACGAACGCUGGCGGCGUGCUUAACACAUGCAAGUCGAACGAAGUGGCGAACGGGUGAGUAACGCGUAAUCAACCUGCCCUUCAGAGGGGGACAACAGUUGGAAACGACUGCUAAUACCGCAUACUGAAGUAGGGGAUUGCGUCUGAUUGGCUAGUUGGAGGGGUAACGGCCCACCAAGGAGAUGAUCAGUAGCCGGGCUGAGAGGCUUAACGGCAACAUUGGGGCUGAUACUCGGCCCAGACUCCUACGGGAGGCAGCAGUGGGGAAGCUUCCGCAAUGGACGAAAGUCUGACGGAGCAACGCCGCGUGAGUGAUGACGGCCCUCGGGUUGUAAAGCUCUGUUAAUCGGGACGCGGUACCGGAAUAGAAAGCCACGGCUAACUACGUGCCAGCAGCCGCGGUAAUUC
rnacentral:rRNA from 1 species